rnacentral:rRNA from 1 species
GAUGAACGCUGGCGGCGUGCCUAAUACAUGCAAGUCGAGCGAACAGACGAGGAGCUUGCUCCUUUGACGUUAGCGGCGGACGGGUGAGUAACACGUGGGUAACCUACCUAUAAGACUGGGAUAACUUCGGGAAACCGGAGCUAAUACCGGAUAAUAUUUCGAACCGCAUGGUUCGAUAGUGAAAGAUGGCUUUGCUAUCACUUAAAGAUGGACCUGCGCCGUAUUAGCUAGUUGGUAAGGUAACGGCUUACCAAGGCAACGAUACGUAGCCGACCUGAGAGGGUGAUCGGCCACACUGGAACUGAGACACGGUCCAGACUCCUACGGGAGGCAGCAGUAGGGAAUCUUCCGCAAUGGGCGAAAGCCUGACGGAGCAACGCCGCGUGAGUGAUGAAGGUCUUCGGAUCGUAAAACUCUGUUAUUAGGGAAGAACAAACGUGUAAGUAACUGUGCACGUCUUGACGGUACCUAAUCAGAAAGCCACGGCUAACUACGUG